rnacentral:lncRNA from 1 species
UUUUUGUGCUGAGUACUAUUGGUUAUGUGAUGGUAUUUAAUUGUUAAAAAUGUAAAAAUUACUAGAAGAUAAUUAAUCAUGAUUUAUAUUGUUAAGGUUGAAAAUUCAAUUAUUAAGUCGUACAAUUUAUAGAAUAGGAUUAAUUUCAUACAGUCUUCCGUAAACAUAUCGAAUGGUAAAUAUAUUCCUACAAUGCUUACCUUUUUUCAUAAUUAGUUCAGUGAUAUUCAUAUUUGUUAUUUUAAUUUAUUACCAUUAGAGCACCAUUUGUUUGUUAACAAAAAAUAAAUGAAAUAAUAUCUUUAUCAUCACAAAUAUAUUUCUCUAAAAAUUUCAACUGCUAGAAUUAUACAGAAAUAUCCUUACAAAAAUUUUCAACGGUCAUCAUUUUCUUUUCUACCAUCACAAAUAAUUAAAGAAGGAUAAAAAAAAAAAUUAAUAUAUCCUGUUCACUAACUAGAAUUAAGUAUUUUAUCUAUAAUUAAUUACAGUUUUCUAGCGAAUCUUACUGGUAAGAGUAUAUUUUAAAAAAAUUAUGCUUUUUAUAGUAAUAAAUAUGAAAAGUUGAACUUUUUAAGAAAUAUAUCUGCUAUUCGAUAUGUUUAUAGAUAAUUGUAUGAGAUUUAUUUGUAAGCAAAAUAUAU